GAUGAAGAACGUAGCGAAAUGCGAUAAGUAGUGUGAAUUGCAGAAUUCAGUUAAUCAUCGAAUCUUUGAACGCACAUUGCGCCCCUUGGUAUUCCAUGGGGCAUGCCUGUUCGAGCGUCAUUUGUACCUUCAAGCUCUGCUUGGUGUUGGGGGUUUGUCUCGCCUCUGCGUGUAGACUCGCCUCAAAACAAUUGGCAGCCGGCGUAUUGAUUUCGGAGCGCAGUACAUCUCGCGCUUUGCACUCAUAACGACGACGUCCAAAAGUACAUUUUUACACUCUUGACCUCGGAUCAGGUAGGGAUACCCGCUGAACUUAAGCAUAUCAAUAAGCGGAGGA
rnacentral:misc_RNA from 1 species